AUUACAUUGCUGAUGGCACGUCUUAUAUUUGGUUCCGUAUUUUUCCGGUGGAGUGCGUCUGUGUGUUUGUAUGUCGUGUCCUUGAGUAAAUGUGAGGUAUCUAGCCACGGGAUGCAGUUUAGCUGAGUUUUCCCAUAAUUUUAGACUUGGAAAGACUACUGUCAGAACAAUAAUACGACAGGUUUGUUCUGCCAUAUGGACCAAGGUGAAAGAAGUGUGUUUACGGGAACCUACAGAGGAGGAAUGGAAAAAUAUUGAGGAAACGUUCCAAAAACAAAUAUAGGUGCUGUUGACGGGAAACAUAUCAGAGUGAAUCGGCCACCUCACAGCGGAUUAUUGUAUUUUAACUACAAGAGAUAUUUUUCUAUUGUGUUCCUUGCAGAUUACAAGUUCAUCAGAAUUGAUGUUGGAUUCCGCUAUUUAUCACAAACUUAUAAACAAGGAACUGCAAAUCCCAGAUAAGUGUCCAAUAUCUACAACUAAUACUACGCCUACGCCUUGGUGACGAGGCAUUUCCUCUCUCGGAAAACCUGAUGCGUCCUUAUCCCGGCAACAAUUUAAGCCUCGAGAAGGAAAUCUUCAACUAUAGGCUAAGCCGAGCUCGAAGGGCAUUUUCCAUCGCCCAUUGGACGUAAAUAUUGAUGUUGCAAUCGAUAUCGUGAAGGCAUGUUGUGUUUUACAUGACUUUGUUAGCACCAGAGAUGGCAUCGGAUAUGAAGACACUUUGCGUUCUUUUCCAACAUCACAUGAGACGUCACGAGAUCACACAAGAAAUACAAGACGUCCAGUAUCUUGUCGAGAUAUGUUUACGCAGUGAAGGCCAGGUCCCAUGGCAAAACAAAUGCAUUUAACUAAUUUACAUGUAGAAAUCCACGUACAUAUACACCUGAAAAUACAUAUAUAAAUAGUUUGUAACUACUUA